rnacentral:rRNA from 1 species
CCUACGGGAGGCUGCAGUCGAGAAUCAUUCACAAUGGGGGAAACCCUGAUGGUGCGACGCCGCGUGGGGGAAUGAAGGUCUUCGGAUUGUAAACCCCUGUCAUGUGGGAGCAAAUUAAAAAGAUAGUACCACAAGAGGAAGAGACGGCUAACUCUGUGCCAGCAGCCGCGGUAAGACAGAGGUCUCAAGCGUUGUUCGGAAUCACUGGGCGUAAAGCGUGCGUAGGCUGUUUCGUAAGUCGGGUGUGAAAGGCGCGGGCUCAACCCGCGGACGGCACAUGAUACUGCGAGACUAGAGUAAUGGAGGGGGAACCGGAAUUCUCGGUGUAGCAGUGAAAUGCGUAGAUAUAGAGAGGAACACUCGUGGCGAAGGCGGGUUCCUGGACAUUAACUGACGCUGAGGCACGAAGGCCAGGGGAGCGAAAGGGAUUAGAUACCCCUGUAGUC